rnacentral:rRNA from 1 species
UACGUAGGGGCGAGCGUUGUCCGGAAUUACUGGGCGUAAAGGGCGAGUAGGCGGCUAUACCAGUCAGAUGUGAAAUACCAGGGCUCAACCCUGGUACUGCAUUUGGAACUGUGUAGCUUGAGUACAGGAGGAGGAAGGUGGAAUUCCAGUGUAGCGGUGAAAUGCGUAGAUAUUGGGAGGAACACCAGUGGCGAAGGCGACUUCUGGACUGUAACUGACGCUGAGG